rnacentral:rRNA from 1 species
UAUCGGCAGAAUGCUCAGUAACACGUAGUUAAUCUACCAUACAGCAGAGGAUAACCUUGGGAAACUGAGGGUAAAACUCUAUAGGGAAUUAUACCUGGAAUGGUUUCUUCUUUAAACGUAAGGCUGUAUGAUGGGACUGCGGCGGAUUAGAUUGUUGGUAGGGUAACGGCCUACCAAGUCUACGAUCCGUACGGGCCUUGGAAGAGGUAACCCGGAGAGGGACACUGAGAAACUGGUCCCAGCCCCACGGGGUGCAGCAGGCGCGAAACCUUUACAAUGCACGAAAGUGUGAUAGGGGGACUCAAAGUGCUCAUGCUUUGCAUGGGCUUUUGUCAAGUCUAAACUGCUUGACGAAUAAGUGGUGGGAAAGACUGGUGCCAGCCGCCGCGGUAACACCAGCGCCACGAGUGGGAACCGGUAUUAUUGGGCCUAAAGCGUCCGUAGCGGGCUUUGUAAAUUACUUGUGAAAUCGGACAGCUUAACUGUUCGGAUUGCAGGUAAGACUGCAGAGCUAGAGAUCGGGGGACGUAAGAGGUAUUCAUGGGGGAGCGGUAAAAUGUGAGAAUCCCAUGAGGACCACCUGUUGCGAAGGCGUCUUACAACAACGAGUCUGACCGUGAGGGACUAAAGCUAGGGGAGCGAACCGGAUUAGAUACCCGAGUAGUCCUAGCCCUAAACGCUGUGAAUUAGGUGUUGCAUAAUCUACGGGAUUAUGCAGUAUCGUAGCGAAGGCGUUAAAUUCACCGCCUGGGAAGUACGGUCGCAAGAUUGAAACUUAAAGGAAUUGGCGGGGGAGCACCACAAGGGGUGCGGCGUGCGGUUUAAUCGAAUUCAACGCCGAAAAUCUCACCAGAUGCGACGGCACAAUGAAAGACAGUCUAAAGGGCUUUCUUGAGGAGCCGAGAGGUAGUGCAUGGCCGCCGUCAGCUCGUAUCGUGAGAUGUCUGUUAAGUCAGGUAACGAGCAAGACCUGUACCUAUAAUUGCCAGCAGAUGUUAUACAUGACUGGGCACAUUAUAGGGACUGCCUUGGAAACAAGGAGGAAGGUGCAGGCAACGGUAGGUCCGUAUGCUCCGAAUCUUCUGGGCUACACGCGCGCAACAAUGGUUAGGACAAUGGGAUGCUACUCCGAAAGGAGAAGCUAAACCUCGAAACCUAAUCUAAGUUUAGAUCGAGGGUUGUAACUCACCCUCGUGACACCGGAAUCCCUAGUAAUCGGUCUUCAUCAUGGACCAGUGAAUAUGUCCCUGCUCUUUGCACACACCGCCCGUCAAACCAACCGAGCAUAGCUCGAGUGAGCCUUAGUUCUUGUGAUUAAGUCAAACUCAAGUUAAGUAAGGUGGGUUAAGUCGUCACAAGGUA